UGCUUGCUCAGUCCCUUCUGGUUCCUUUGUCUGCUCUCUUAAAGAACUGGGAAGAGACUUGAAGCAAACCUUGGUUUCAGUUGCAGUAUAUUGUUCUUACUUUGUGCUACCUGCAAAACCUGGGCGUCCUGAAGAGCAUUUGCAUUUGAAGCUGGAAUUCAGAGCUGGCAAGGCUGAGGUCUGUGUUGGUAGCAGUAACAGGUCCAGAGGAAGAAAUGACCAUGUAGAUUCUACAGCCUGGGUGCUGCAUAAUGGGAAAUGGUGAAUGGAGCGGAACUGGUCUGCAGCCUUGAAAGCAGCUGUUCUGCGGACCACUAGUCGGUCAGGGGCACCUUGCACACCAGAGGCAUUCUCCACGUCGCUCACUGGACACAUGCUGGAUUGUUUUUAAUCCUAGGCUGGAAUUCGAGGCUCGUCUCCUUCAGUUUUUAAAAGAUUUUAAGCUUCUAUCAACUCUAACAAGUGGAGCAAUAUAAUCAGUAACCAUGGGUGACAUGACAAAUAGUGAUUUUUAUUCCAAGAACCAAAGAAAUGAGGCCAACCAUGCAGGAGAAUUUGGGUGCACCCUGCAAGAACUGCGCUCCCUCAUGGAACUCCGAGGAACAGAAGCAGUGGUAAAAAUUAAAGAGACAUAUGGGGAAACAGAGGGGCUCUGCAGGCAUCUGAAGACAUCACCAACAGAAGUGCUUGAAAGUCUUGAUUUAUUGGUGUUAUCACAAACAUGUAAAUUGUGAAA